CUGCCGCCCACCCCCCCCUGUGGCUCUCGCGAGAACGGGCGGCAGCGGGAGAGGCCGCGUCGUCGUCAGCCGAGGGUGUCGUGUCUCUGUCCCCGCCCGCAGCACCGCGCCCCUCGGGAAGCCGAACGGAGUCGCCACGUCGCUGUCCCGGAGAGAGCGCUCCGGCCCCGACCCCCUUUUCCCGUCAGCAUUGCCGGGGGGGGCUUAUCCUCCGCCCCCAGCGUACUGCUCCCGCCGCCCUGUGCACGCUCAGAAGGGGCAGGCCCAGGCCAGCUCCGCUUCCCGGCUCCCCGCCGAAGAAGGUAACGUGCUGGCGGGGAGGCUCAGCACCACCCCAGUGCUGCUGUCCCAACUGUCCAAAAGUCAUGAAUCAAGCGCAACGCGAUCAAUAGGCUCAGAAAUCCCGCCAUGAGAAAGAGAUUCCUGCUUUCUCGGCCGAGUCGUUCGGAAGAAGCCGCCCACCCCAGGGAGGGUGAUUAUUUCAGCUCUACCAUCCAGAUUCCUAAGCAGAGAGCCCAGAGGGUGGCAGUGUUCUCUGCAGGCAGUCUAACUUCAGUCCCUUGGGGUACUAGAGGAGAUAGCCCUGAUCCCAGGAAGACUCACUUCUUUCUGCAAGAACAAGACAGAACUCUGUAGCACUUCAAAGCUGCAUGGAGAGGGCUGCUGUUUUAACUGAUGUCAGACUUUCAUUUUGUACUGUUGUCCUAUUGAAAGGUAAUAGGGGAUGGUAGCCAUUGUAACUAAGGGCAAAAGUUCACAAGAUUUGUAACUUCUGGGGACUGAGAAGCUGUGAGUGAAGCAUAAAAUCAUGGUGCUCAGAAUAAUAUUGAGAGAGCUGGCUACUUUGACAUCUUUCCUAUUCCCAACAUCAUCACACCAUAGGAUUGCCACGUGUCCAGAUUUUAACCAAAAGUGCAGUAAAAAGGGGAACUCUAUGCUGUCCAGUCAGAAGUACUGAUGGCACCAAAGUUCACCUACCGGGGCACUGGAAGAGGGAUGUUGCUUCCUGUAAAUGCCAUCCCCAACCUGUCCCUAGUCAGUCUGGCCUAGGAUUUUGGAGGGAGGCAAAGUAGAUGGAGGUGGAGGGAUCAGCACUGGAUCAUAAAUCUGAGCCAAGGCCAUCUCUUACCCGCAUCUCAUGGUCAGGCAGGUAAGCAGGCUCUCAUUCAGCUGCAAGCCUGAUUAUCCAUGCCAAAGGUGAGUCCUGAGAGAUAGGGGAGACAGUAACCAGCAGAGGUGGGAGGGAUUGAGCAGUGGAGUGGAGGGUUGUAGUGUCCACUUUUAAGAAACUGGAAAGUUGACAAGCCUACUUGUGAGUCACAACCUCUGCAAUAGUCAGGACUGCUUUGACUUUGUUCUAAUUGAGCCAUGAUGUGCAGAGUGAUAGGUGGUAUCUAAGUAGUAUCAGAGUGUGGCAACCUCUGCAUCAGGAGUUAUGCCUAACUUGUUUGUACCUGUAAAUAAAGUGGUGUCUUGGAGGGGCAGUCUUUGUUGAGUCUAGGGGUCAGUGGGAUCUCCCACUGACUGAGCUGAGUCCAUUGUUACAAGUACAUACGUGUAGUGGUUCGGUAGAGUCUCCUGAAAACUAUUACUGUACUGUAUUUUGCUUAAUAAUAAACCUGGCCAGGCACCUUCAAUCCUUAUGUGAUUUGUGGUGUUUGGGGACUCUCUCAGA